rnacentral:misc_RNA from 1 species
UUGUGGAGGAGGACGCCGAAGGUGGGGCUAAUGACUGGGGUGAAGUCGUAACAAGGUAGCCGUACCGGAAGGUGCGGCUGGAUCACCUCCUAACAGGGAGACAACAAAAUGUUUAAUAUUAUUAUUUUGUCACCUUAGGUCGAUCGGUAUCUCACGUUUUUAAUUUAUUAAGAACUUCAUUUCCUAAGUUUUUCUAGGUCACACCCAUUAUUUUUCCUGGGCCAUUAGCUCAGGUGGUUAGAGCGCACCCCUGAUAAGGGUGAGGUCCCUGGUUCAAGUCCAGGAUGGCCCAUAUCUCUAUGUUGGGGGUAUAGCUCAGUUGGUAGAGCGCCUGCUUUGCAAGCAGGAUGUCAGCGGUUCGAGUCCGCUUACCUCCACUGAUUACCACCUCUUCCAUAACCGGUAGAAAGGAAAUGUUUUGAGUUGUGAUCAAAUUCUGAAAGAAUUCAGCUUCCUAAUGAAAUCAUUAAGAUGCUGGACUCAUUGAAUUAAUUUCAUUGUUUUCAGAGAACCUUGACAACUGCAUAGAUUAUUUUUAAAGACAAUAAGCAUCUUUAAUGAUGUAGAUUUAUUAUUUGUGCGAAUGCAUUAAUAACAAUUCUAUUAAGCUGAUGCUUCAAUUUUGAAGUUAUUGGUCAAGCUACAA